ACGUCACAAUAUAAAGACGUUGUUAGUGUUGUUUGCUCUCGAGUUAGUUCUGAUCGGAGGCCUCCUCCGUUCACAACCUCAGACCAUACUAUAUAAUGUGUCACUCCUAUUCUUUCUAGCGAGCCGAGCUACCACGUAGGGACUCAAUAGGUUUCGCGAACCAAAUGAGGGACCCUCAAUAUGAUCGCUUGGACUGCUCGGAAAAGCAACCAGAUCUUCCUUAAAUCACAUACCCUCAUCUAAAACAAAAUAAAAAGGGAAAAUUUCACUGAGAGGUAUGGACCACCCCAGAUGAACCCAAUUUUAUCAGGUAUUGUGCUCCUCCGCGCCGAAGAAAAAUAGGUUAUUUAAAUUCACGACUGAGUCUUGUGUUAUAUGAUCCGAUCUAGAGGAACUUUUUCAGACUCUAUUUUACUUUACAACCUUGUUUGGUCCAAAGAGAUGAAAUCAAAUAUAAAUUUCCCACGUGCGUAAAUCAACGAUCAACAAAGUAAAUACAAUUUAUCCCAAUCAAUUCAAUGCUUGGAUAUUUACAAACUUGAAACUGUUUUUGUUGCUUUAUUUUUUUUUUUUUGACAUCUUUGAAAAUUAAAUAAAACCCAGAACUAAUUCAAA